GUGCCAGCAGCCGCGGUAACACGUAGGAGACAAGCGUUAUCCGGAUUUACUGGGCGUAAAGCGCGUGCAGGCGGUUUGGAAAGUUGGAUGUGAAAGCUCCUGGCUUAACUAGGAGAGGUCAUUCAAAACUUCCAGACUAGAGAGUGGUAGAGGAAGGUGGAAUUCCGGGUGUAGUGGUGAAAUGCGUAGAUAUCCGGAGGAACACCAGUGGCGAAAGCGGCCUUCUGGACCAUUUCUGACGCUCAGACGCGAAAGCUAGGGUAGCAAACGGGAUUAGAGACCCCGGUAGUCCUAGCCGUAAACUAUGUAGACUUGGCGUUGGUGGGUUAAUAUCCGCCAGUGCCGUAGCUAACGCGAUAAGUCUACCGCCUGGGGACUACGAUCGCAAGAUUAAAACUUAAAGGAAUUGACGGGG
rnacentral:rRNA from 1 species